UACGUAGGGCGCAAGCGUUGUCCGGAAUUAUUGGGCGUAAAGAGCUCGUAGGCGGUUUGUCGCGUCUGGGGUGAAAACUCAAGGCUCAACCUUGAGCUUGCAUCGGGUACGGGCAGACUAGAGUGCGGUAGGGGAGACUGGAAUUCCUGGUGUAGCGGUGGAAUGCGCAGAUAUCAGGAGGAACACCGAUGGCGAAGGCAGGUCUCUGGGCCGCAACUGACGCUGAGGAGCGAAAGCAUGGGGAGCGAACAGG
rnacentral:rRNA from 1 species